GCCAAUCAAACCGGGAGAUAGCUGGUUCUCCCCGAAAGCUAUUUAGGUAGCGCCUCGUGAAUUCAUCUCCGGGGGUAGAGCACUGUUUCGGCAAGGGGGUCAUCCCGACUUACCAACCCGAUGCAAACUGCGAAUACCGGAGAAUGUUAUCACGGGAGACACACGGCGGGUGCUAACGUCCGUCGUGAAGAGGGAAACAACCCAGACCGCCAGCUAAGGUCCCAAAGUCAUGGUUAAGUGGGAAACGAUGUGGGAAGGCCCAGACAGCCAGGAUGUUGGCUUAGAAGCAGCCAUCAUUUAAAGAAAGCGUAAUAGCUCACUGGUCGAGUCGGCCUGCGCGGAAGAUGUAACGGGGCUAAACCAUGCACCGAAGCUGCGGCAGCGACACUAUGUGUUGUUGGGUAGGGGAGCGUUCUGUAAGCCUGUGAAGGUGGCCUGUGAGGGUUGCUGGAGGUAUCAGAAGUGCGAAUGCUGACAUAAGUAACGAUAAAGCGGGUGAAAAGCCCGCUCGCCGGAAGACCAAGGGUUCCUGUCCAACGUUAAUCGGGGCAGGGUGAGUCGACCCCUAAGGCGAGGCCGAAAGGCGUAGUCGAUGGGAAACAGGUUAAUAUUCCUGUACUUGGUGUUACUGCGAAGGGGGGACGGAGAAGGCUAUGUUGGCCGGGCGACGGUUGUCCCGGUUUAAGCGUGUAGGCUGGUUUUCCAGGCAAAUCCGGAAAACCAAGGCUGAGGCGUGAUGA
rnacentral:rRNA from 1 species